rnacentral:rRNA from 1 species
UAAGGAAUAUUGGACAAUGCCCGCAAGGGUGAUCCAGCCAUGCCGCGUGCAGGAAGACGGCCCUAUGGGUUGUAAACUGCUUUUACACCGGAGAAAACCUUCCCUCGUGAGGGGAGCUGAUAGUAUGGUGAGAAUAAGCAUCGGCUAACUUCGUGCCAGCAGCCGCGGUAAGACGAAGGAUGCAAGCGUUAUCCGGAUUCAUUGGGUUUAAAGGGAGCGUAGGUGGCCUUAUAAGUCAGUGGUGAAAUCCUGUUGCUUAACAGCAGAAUUGCCAUUGAUACUGUAGGGCUUGAGUACAGUUGCUGUGGGCGGAAUAUGACAUGUAGUGGUGAAAUACAUAGAGAUGUCAUAGAACACCGAUUGCGAAGGCAGCUCACAAAACUGUAACUGACACUGAGGCUCGAAAGUGCGGGGAUCAAACAG